UACAGAGGUCUCAAGCGUUGUUCGGAUUCAUUGGGCGUAAAGGGUGCGUAGGCGGCGCGGUAAGUCGGGUGUGAAAUCUCGGAGCUUAACUCCGAAACUGCAUUCGAUACUGCCGUGCUUGAGGACUGGAGAGGAGACUGGAAUUUACGGUGUAGCGGUGAAAUGCGUGGAUAUCGUAAGGAAGACCAGUGGCGAAGGCGGGUCUCUGGACAGUUCCUGACGCUGAGGCACGAAGGCCAGGGGAGCAAACGGG
rnacentral:rRNA from 1 species